AUUUGGGACACCGAGACAACAGUUUGCAGACGACUUCACCCCCAGUAGAAUGUCGAAGUCCUAGUGAAUGUUACAAUCCAAUAAGAAUAAGGAGUUCAACUGACAUCUAAUCCGUGUAGAAGCGCAACUGUGAUCUUCUCGACAAAAAAGUCUAAAUCAAAAAAAGAAACUUCCAAUAUUUAUGAGCUACUCUGGACGAAGAUUACAACCUUUUGGAGUAGCGAGAAAAAAAUACAGGGUCCUCCGAUAAAAACUUACAGAGCAUUUAGAUGAUCAACAUUCAUGUUUGCGAAUCGCUGGAUCGUCUUCGAAUUACACCACAACCAAAAAAAUACUACUGUUUGGCCGAAGGUCCGCCCCCGGCUGAUCAAGUGGGACUCCCAAACAUCAAUGUGUAGGCUCAAGGAAAUGGUCAAGAGAGGAGACCGUUUGAAAGGUGCCUUCGCGAACCUCAUUGAUACCUAUCAUAUUGUAGGCAAUGCGAGCAGGCCCCUUGAGCGAAGCCUGAGUGCCUCUUCCAUUAUCCCGAAUAAUCUCUUCGUACGCAACAUUGUCUCAGUAACCUCCUGCGCGGUCCGACAUUUGUCGCAAACAUGCGAUCGGGGAUUGCUGAACCAGCAGUUAACGCCACAAUUGUUAGCCGAUCGCCAUUUACGUGGGCUGUGCGAAGUUAUCAAAUUGGAUUACAGAACAAAUUCCCUCUCGUUGUGAAAAGGCACAUCUGUAUUAUUAUUCAACUUACUUCGGCGAAUCGGAAGAAUUUUCAAAUGUGAAUUCAAAUUCCUUCGGUUUCAUAGAUCAUAUACUUAUUGAAGGACAGAUGAAACGGACAGAAAUUGCCAGGCACCGAUCUGUGGCCAAGGCAAAUGUCGUUAAUUAGGUUACCUUGAAUAUCUUUCAUUAGAGCAAUGCUUAUUAGGCUCAUAAAUAUAGGCAGAUCUAAAGGCCUAUUCACGUAUAUGUUACUUUGUGGAUUACUAUUCGAUAUCGGCCUGGUAAUGAUCAUGUUCCUGUCCGACACGUUUCUAAAAGAUGCCAAAAGGUAAUGUUGAUUUGUCCUCACGGGAUGAUGCUCCAGAAGGUGUAAGAGCACUGUAUGUACGCUCCUGGCGCCCUCAUCGAACAGGAAUUCGAUUCCGCUUGCGACAUGGACGCAACAAAUAAAAAAAAAAAUGGUUACAUUUUAUCCAAUUCGCGAACUUCAGAGCAGGAAAAGCAUUUCGAGUGCGGUCCGCGUCCUUCUGCUCGAUAUAAAACUUAUAAAUUUGCAAGGUACAGCUGAUGAUUCCAUUUGCACUUCCUUAAGAUUUGAGUUUUUUUUUUGAGAGAUCAGCGAAAUAGACAGCGAAAAGGACAGAAGGCCCUUGGCCGCUGUUAGCCUAACUCGGUCGGCAAAAAUCAAUGUGAACGAGCCGCCUUCCUUUGAAGCUUUCAAGAUAUUGACGACGCCGGCAGUCUCUUCUUCCACAAAAUCCAUCUACGCAGCUGUAAACAACGAUGUAUGAUUAUAGUAUUCGACUUCAACCGAUUCAUCUAGAUCUUUCCGACAAACGUUUAUACGCUUAAGUAUCAACUGGCCAAGCAGAAACAAUUAAAUAAUUAUUCAUAUAUCGAAGUAUUUGAGGUACAAUAAUCGAGACAUUUUGAGAUGAUCCAUUGACAAUCAAAUUCAAUUCCUACUAACACUUACCAAAAAACUGAACGAAGCUUGAAGAUACGAAUGA